rnacentral:rRNA from 1 species
CCUACGGGUGGCAGCAGUGAGGAAUAUUGGUCAAUGGGCGGGAGCCUGAACCAGCCAAGUCGCGUGAGGGAAGACGGUCCUAUGGAUUGUAAACCUCUUUAGGCGGGGAGCAAUGCCGGGCACGCGUGCCCGGAGGGAGAGUACCCGCAGAAUAAGCAUCGGCUAACUCCGUGCCAGCAGCCGCGGUAAUACGGAGGAUGCGAGCGUUAUCCGGAUUUAUUGGGUUUAAAGGGUGCGUAGACGGAGAAGCAAGUUAGUUGUGAAAUCCCUCGGCUUAACUGAGGAACUGCAACUAAAACUACUUCCCUUGAGUACUGGAGAGGAAAGUGGAAUUCCUAGUGUAGCGGUGAAAUGCGUAGAUAUUAGGAGGAACACCAGUGGCGAAGGCGACUUUCUGGACAGUAACUGACGUUGAGGCACGAAGGCCAGGGGAGCGAAAGGGAUUAGAUACCCGGGUAGUC